rnacentral:lncRNA from 1 species
GCAUAGCAGUUUAUACUUUACAAAGAGAUUUCACAAGUGUUUAUCUGUAAAAAUUCUGUGAAGUAGACAGGAAGAAUUAUCUUUUUUCUUUAAUAGAUAAAGAAAUAAAUCGACUUGCCCCUAAUCAGACCUUAUACGUGGGAGAAUCCAGGUCCUCUGGUUACACACUUGCCAGCAUGCCUCACUCCAAUGGGGAAAAAGAAUUGCUACCGAGCUCUUCAGACUCACAGCAAAAGAGAACUUGAAAUCCACAGCAAGGAUGUACUGGCAGGAGGCAGAAGGCAACCAGCCUGCCUUCCAUCUCAUCGCCACCUCCCACAGCCAAGUCUAUGGGAAAUGCUCACUGUCCUCCAGCCCAGGAGAACUUUUGUCCCUGCCUGCCAUAUCUUUUUUGGAGAGAGAGGCAAAACAAGUACUCUACACACCAUCACGAAUUUCAAAUGGUAAAAACAUCAUCUCAUUGAUUGUCUUUACAGAGCGUGCUACUGCGAUUGCUUCAUUGAAACUGAUAGAAGGG